CCAUUUUCUUCUGUUGUACACUGGACUUCUGGAAACAUAACAAGAAUAUGACCAAAAGGAUGAUUUUUUUGUAAUUCCCACCUGCUGUCCUUGAAGGAUUUCUACAGAGAUCCAAGAAGAAGACAGCGCAAGGAUCCUCCUAGAGGAGAAUGGAAAUGUGUAUGUCAUCAAUACCCCUAGGGUUUCUGUCCAAUGUGAGGAAAACACCGAGGGCCAAGAUGGAGAAGUCAUCUUUGAGGAUGGAUCAUAUCCCAUUAAUAGUGUGAUUAAUAAUCACAUUCUCUCUGAAGAUGAAGGUGUUUCAGUUGACAUGUCUAAAGAUGAAGACCUUACGGUAGAGUCUAAUCAUCACAGUUCAGUGAGUCAACCAAGAUUAAGGGCUCAGGUUGGUGGGCGUAACCUACCUGUAGAGGUGGACAGAUGGAAUGAACCAUCUAUUAUGGUCCCAGUCCAGUGUGAAGACAAUCAAUGGGGGCUACAUGGACAAGUCGUGUUUGAAAAUCUGUCAUAUAACAUUGAAUUGCGACUGCUUUUGGAACCAGCAGGUGAAGAUGAGGGUGUGCAUAUCUCGACAGCUGAGGAUGAAGAUUACAUGGCCUACAGCCUUAUGCAGAGUUAAUUAACUAAAGGAUAUUCUAGUUUUUGUGCCAUUUAUGCACAUUCUAUGUGCAGCACCUAUAGCCUCAAAAGCUAACCAUAUGUGUGUAGAUCUCAUGAACAAUGAUUCCACCACUUUCAAUUACAGAAAUACAGUAGGCAAUCCUGUUCUUAUAAUUUAUAUAAAAUAAUGCUUUUGUGGGGUUUAAAGCACAGAAAGUGAUGUACAAAAAUAUAUUCUAAAUUCCCACAUUUUAAUGUGUCCUCCUGUAAAGUUACUGUUUUGGAGAUACAUGUUUUUCUUUGGACAGCAAUAAUAUUAUAGUUUCUAUUAAUUAUAGACUUUUCAAGCAUUAC